UACGGAGGGUGCGAGCGUUAAUCGGAAUUACUGGGCGUAAAGCGCAUGCAGGUGGUGUGUUAAGUCAGAUGUGAAAGCCCGGGGCUCAACCUCGGAAUAGCAUUUGAAACUGGCACACUAGAGUACUGUAGAGGGGGGUAGAAUUUCAGGUGUAGCGGUGAAAUGCGUAGAGAUCUGAAGGAAUACCAGUGGCGAAGGCGGCCCCCUGGACAGAUACUGACACUCAGAUGCGAAAGCGUGGGGAGCAAACAGG
rnacentral:rRNA from 1 species